CUCUCUCUCUUCCUCCCUCCCUCUCACUUGUAGUUUCUCUUUCCCUCCGACGAGCAUACGUUUAUCCUAUAUCAUUCGUUGCAUGCGCGCGCGCGCGCGCGCGCGCGCUACAGUCGACUCGUGUAAUCGAAUGAUGCAGCCAACUUUACGUCGGAAUGUACGGACCAUAAAUCUGAUCAUCUCAACGGACAAUCAAUUGGUCGCAACUUAAUUAAUUCACUGGACAUAUAUAUGGUGCUCGAUCGCAGAUCGUGUCACCGACAACGGACGGCGCGACAAAACGCAAUGGAACGGAACGAUGCGAAACCGAACGGUAUUAUAAAGAGAACGCAAAUCGAUCGCGAUCAACACGUCACGACGAUCGCAUAUCACGCAAUUCAGCACUCCCGCGGCAUUUGUGAUGAGAUUUUUUAUGCAGAUGAACACGCGAAAAAAUGCAGAGCGAUCUCACAAACGACGAUGAAAGUGCUACAAACGUCCGAAACGACGACGCUACGACAUGAAUCAAAUUUGCACAUCAGUCUCAGAGCUGAAAGAUCUUGCGAUCGUAGUGCGAAAGAUGGGUGCCGCCGUACCGGAGAAUCCGGUUCGGGCUGAGCAGAGCCGAUUUGAAGGUUUGGAGCAUAACCUAACCUGGCCGACCUUGACUGCAAGUCGUUUUAGUGAGUGAAAAAUAAAAGAAAAGAUUUAAAAUAAUUUUGUAGCAUCUCGAUGAAUAUGCGAUCGCGAUUUAUCUCGUAUCUCUCCUUUCCGCCUUUUAUAUAAUAAUACAAGCACUGUUGAGAUGUGUUAUAAAAAAUCCGCCAGAGACGUAGUCAUCUCGCUAUUUGCAUCUCUAUUUGAACGGAGAUUUCUGUUUGGAUCGGUUGGAAUUUCAGCAUGUCAGGUAUAUAUAUGAGGUACAUAUCGAUAUUAGGUAUAUCAAUGACAUGUACGUACAACUGAUGUACAAAUGGAAAGUUUAUUAUAUUACUUUGGAAUUGGCCGGGUUGAUAUAGAAGAGAAAUGUUGACUCGAUAAUUUUCUCUCUAUAUGAUUUAUUAUAUAUUCUAUCUUGAUGAUGAUAAUAAUAAUAAUUCUCUCUGACAGUUUUUCUGGAUUUACAUUGCACGAAUUGUACAAAUUUACAAUACGCAUUACAUUAAUACAGCGUAUAUAACUUACUUGCUACUAUGAAUAUUGCGGGAUAUUUCUUUCGACUAGGGAUAUAUAUAUGAUAUAUAUAUCUUUAAUGAAAGAGGACGUGCCACAAUUUUAAAUUUUAUACAGUAUAUAUAUUUCAUAUUUCUCGUUUCAAUUUUAUUCACUUUCACUUAUUUUUUUUUAUUUCACUUAGUUGCCAACCCAAUAGAAGGAAGGGGUAUGCUAGGUUAUUAUAUUUAUAUAAGUGCAUAUGCUUAUAUACUCAUAUGUUCUCAUAAAAGAACAGGAAUAAUACAUACAUGUCUAUUACUAUAACAAGUUAUACACAAGCACAUUUUGCUUCGGUUGACACAAAAUCCAUAUAUAUGAUCACAAACAUAGAUAAGUAUUUUGAUAUACUUCCUUUGAAGGCGUAACAAAACGAUUUGCAUUAAGAUAUAAAUUAUAAGAGAUGGCACUCGCGAUUUAAGUCUCUCAUUGUUCCCUU
rnacentral:lncRNA from 1 species